rnacentral:rRNA from 1 species
UUUGAAUCAUGGCUCAGGACGAAACGCUGGCGGCGUGCCUAAUACAUGCAAAGUAGAACGCUGAUGUUUGGUGUUUACACUAGACUGAUGAGUUGCGAACGGGUGAGUAACGCGUAGGUAACCUGCCUCAUAGCGGGGGAUAACUAUUGGAAACGAUAGCUAAUACCGCAUAAGAGUGAUUAACACAUGUUAGUUAUUUAAAAGGAGCAAUUGCUUCACUGUGAGAUGGACCUGCGUUGUAUUAGCUAGUUGGUGAGGUAAAGGCUCACCAAGGCGACGAUACAUAGCCGACCUGAGAGGGUGAUCGGCCACACUGGGACUGAGACACGGCCCAGACUCCUACGGGAGGCAGCAGUAGGGAAUCUUCGGCAAUGGACGGAAGUCUGACCGAGCAACGCCGCGUGAGUGAAGAAGGUUUUCGGAUCGUAAAGCUCUGUUGUUAGAGAAGAACGUUGGUAGGAGUGGAAAAUCUACCAAGUGACGGUAACUAACCAGAAAGGGACGGCUAACUACGUGCCAGCAGCCGCGGUAAUACGUAGGUCCCGAGCGUUGUCCGGAUUUAUUGGGCGUAAAGCGAGCGCAGGCGGUUCUUUAAGUCUGAAGUUAAAGGCAGUGGCUUAACCAUUGUACGCUUUGGAAACUGGAGGACUUGAGUGCAGAAGGGGAGAGUGGAAUUCCAUGUGUAGCGGUGAAAUGCGUAGAUAUAUGGAGGAACACCGGUGGCGAAAGCGGCUCUCUGGUCUGUAACUGACGCUGAGGCUCGAAAGCGUGGGGAGCAAACAGGAUUAGAUACCCUGGUAGUCCACGCCGUAAACGAUGAGUGCUAGGUGUUAGGCCCUUUCCCGGGGCUUAGUGCCGCAGCUAACGCAUUAAGCACUCCGCCUGGGGAGUACGACCGCCAAGGUUGAAACUCAAAUGAAAUUGA